rnacentral:lncRNA from 1 species
GUGCCAAAAACACCCAUAUAUAUGUCUAUAACACGGGAUUAAACUCCCAUAACACCAAAAUAAGUUUACUUUCUCUCAAAAUCACCAAGAACAUUCAUUAGAGUUUCAACCUAAAAAUUCAAAUAUCUCAAGAUUCAACCAUGAGUUUUCAAUAAUUCUUCGAGAUUCGGAAUUCCCAUUCCGAGGGCUACAAGAAACACUCAUUAUUUUCAUGAAUAGAGUC